UACGUAGGGUGCAAGCGUUUGUCCGGAAUUAUUGGGCGUAAAGAGCGCGUAGGCGGCCAGAUAAGUCCGGUGUGAAAGUCAAAGGCUCAACCUUUGAAUGCCGCUGGAAACUGUCUGGCUAGAGUCCGGGAGGGGCGCUGGAAUUCCUGGUGUAGCGGUGAAAUGCGCAGAUAUCAGGAGGAACACCGGUGGCGAAGGCGGGUCUCUGGGCCUUACCUGACGCUGAGGCGCGAAAGCUAGGGGAGCAAACAGG
rnacentral:rRNA from 1 species